GAUCCAACGGUGGAGGACGGUGGCGAUAAAACGGAGGCAAAGGAGGGUCACCGGAACCAAGGUAACGGUAACUUGGAUGGUAGUAGAUGGUCUAACCAAGGGGGAAGGCGAGGGAGGACGGUGGCGAUAAGACGGAGGCAAAGGAGGGUCA